rnacentral:rRNA from 1 species
GAAAUGAGUAUCUUAGUGGCGGACGGGUGAGUAACGCGUGGGUAACCUGCCCUAUACCGGGGGAUACCACCUGGAAACAGGUGCUAAUACCGCAUAAGCGCACGGGAGCGCAUGCUCCUGUGUGAAAAACUCCGGUGGUAUGGGAUGGACCCGCGUCUGAUUAGCCAGUUGGCAGGGUAACGGCCUACCAAAGCGACGAUCAGUAGCCGGCCUGAGAGGGUGGACGGCCACAUUGGGACUGAGACACGGCCCAAACUCCUACGGGAGGCAGCAGUGGGGAAUAUUGCACAAUGGGGGAAACCCUGAUGCAGCGACGCCGCGUGAGUGAAGAAGUAUUUCGGUAUGUAAAGCUCUAUCAGCAGGAACGAGACAAGACGGUACCUGACUAAGAAGCCCCGGCUAACUACGUGCCAGCAGCCGCGGUAAUACGUAGGGGGCAAGCGUUAUCCGGAAUCACUGGGUGUAAAGGG